UACGGAGGAUGCGAGCGUUAUCCGGAUUUAUUGGGUUUAAAGGGUGCGCAGGCGGGCUGUUAAGCCGGCGGUAAAAAUUCAGGGCUCAACCCUGUCGAGCCGUCGGAACUGGCAGUCUUGAGUGGGCGAGAAGUAUGCGGAAUGCGUGGUGUAGCGGUGAAAUGCAUAGAUAUCACGCAGAACGCCGAUUGCGAAGGCAGCAUACCGGCGCCCAACUGACGCUGAAGCACGAAAGCGUGGGUAUCGAACAGG
rnacentral:rRNA from 1 species